ACAAUGUAGUCUUAUUAUAUAUAUGGGAAACAUCCACUUGUAAGCUGAUUAAGGCUGACUGAUAGUGCGCUUAGACCAACGUUUUAUUCUUUCCCUUCUCUCUUACUCUUUCCAUUUCCCCUCACUCUUUCUAGAAUUCACGACUUCUCUUUCCCUUCAUUCUCACCCUCAGUGCGCUCUUAUAUCGCAGUGGUGUGUACAAUGAUGAACUGUACGGAGGGAUAAAGCGAUUCUGCUCUUAGCUUUUCAACAAAUAAGUUCAAGGUUACGAUCGGUUCUCUUUUUUUUUCUCGUAGACACACAUACGCAUAACAGGCCUUUCUUUCUUGUUUAUUUUACUCUUAUGGUAGUUUCUCAAGUUGUGAAUACGAAAAGGAAAUUCAUACUGUCUCUUAUUUUUCCGCAAAGGAGGCAAUUUCUAGGAGAGUCAAAUGAUCAACGCUUAAAUUUUCGGAUGCUUAGAAAGGAUAGUAUGAUGCGCCUCUGCUUCUUAUCUUGUACGUCGAUCGCUCGAUGGAACAAGCCUAUCCCAUGACGUAUAUACGGUGUUUUUGAAGUGGGAUAAAGCUUGUAAACAGUUAUGGAUACAACCAUGGGAGAACCACAGAGUACAGGAGCACGUUGGGUUUGUCCAAAUGAUCGGCAUUUAGCAUUAAGAGCUAAAUUGCGAACAGGCUGGUCAGUGAAAACCGGAUAUUUAGACUCAGGAUGGGACAAUUAUUCCAAUGUUGGUAGUGCCAACCGUACAGAGCAAUCUUUCGUAUUAACAGAAGAAGAACGACGUACAAUCAUACAAGUGAUUCAAAGAGCGGAGGCGUUGGACUUAUCGGAGCAGAAACGCAUUGGCAGGCUGGUUGAGAGAUUGGAGGACAUGAAGCGCAACGUUCGCAUAAUCACUUCCAGCCGAUCGGACGAGCGAAAAAAUUGCGGUAGCCGAUGUUCCAACGGCUCGCACUGCGUCUGCUCCUGUGCUUUAUGUGGCGAAAAGUUUGGUGCUGUGUUAGGAGCUACACCAACCUUUUGCAAAGACUGUAGGAAAUAUGUUUGCCAAAAAUGUGGCAGAGAGGCUGGUACGUCGAAUGUACUAGCUUCUACUACCACUACAGAAGUUCUAUCCUCGACUACAUGCAACUCGCUCACAAAUGAAUCGAUACCAAAGAGGACCGCAAUGCAACGAAUCGUACAGAGGACCUCGAACAAUUCGCAAAAGAUUUUUCUUUGUCGCAUUUGUGCCGAGAGCAGGGAAAUUUGGAAAAAAAGUGGAGCUUGGUUCUUCAAAGGAAUGCCGAAACAUGAUCUUCCGAAGAAAAAAGAACGUGAUUGGUCUCGGGUGGGUCAAAGGACGCUAGGCCAAUCGUCUUGUAAAAUCAUCAGUGUUUGUAAAUCAUUGGAAUCGAACGAAGCUCAGGACUCCUCAUCGGACGAGGAGGCAACAAAACGUUUGAUUGGUGCACGUAGCUGCUAUUCCUCUUCUCCGAGCUUGCAGGGUAUCCAAGACAUCAACGGUAUAUCCAAACAACAGAUCAUGUCUUAUGAUGCUCAAACGCCAAAUGGAUUUUUUAAAAUUAAAAGUCGAUCAAAUGGCUAUUCGUCACCUACAGGCCAUCGAGAUGAGAGUUCUUCCACGACGACAACGAAUAGGUUGGACAAAUUUUCAAUACAUUCACAGUACAGUCGUCUCUCAUCAGCGGCAACCUUACGAACCUCUCGUACGAACGAAAAAAGUACAUGUGAUCAACGUGGCGGCAGUUCCCUCGAUGAUAAUGCGUCGACUGAGGAAAUAAGAUUAGAAGAUAACGGUGACGAGCAGUCUGAUUUCAUCGACGAUUCUCUCGGUUCUAGUGAUCAGUGUAAGAGUUCUCAGGUACAAUCAGUCAGGUACACGAAACUCACUGUCGACUUCGCCACCAAGCACUCUGAUGGAAAGGAUUUUAGAGGAGGCUUGGAUGCACGAAAAAAAUGCGGAAUACGAGGCGAAUUGCGCCAAUCAGAUGAACGAUGCGCCUAUCAGCACGUGGUACGUGCAUCACUCGUCGAGGCAACAAACAUCGGAUUAUCUCGAAAUGAUGAGAUCCAAAACGGAGGAAGGUUUUGGAACUCUGGAAAUCUCCUUGCUAUACGACCCAGUGGCUCAGUGCCUCCAGUGCAAAGUGGAACGAGCGUUGGGAUUAAAGCCAAUGGACAUCCACGAUCUCGCCGAUCCAUUUUGCAAAAUCACCAUACUGCCAGUGGGAAUGGGUACAAAUAUCAAGCCCAUAAGAACGAAAACUGUUCACAAGACACGAGAUCCUGUGUUCAACGAGACAGUGAACUUCUACGUAUCGAGAGAUGCCGAUAUGAAGAGUGGCAGAGCCUUACAUGUCAUGAUACUUCAAGACGAUCCGUGGGGAGAAGACUUUCUAGGGGAGGCGAGAUUUCCCCUGUACGAACUAGAACCGUUCCAGACGAAGCAUUACAAAAUCAAUCUGCAAAAUCAUUAUCCGGUGAAUCGCGAAGAAGAGGCUUGGGGUCUUCAUCGAGGCAAUCGAGGUCAAGUACAACUCACUCUAAGUUACUGUACCCGUCGACGUGCCCUGCUAGUUAUUAUUCAUCAAGCUAUGAAUCUUUUGCCCAUGGACAACAACGGGUUUUCUGACCCUUUUCUAAAACUGUGCCUUGUAGAGAAUGUGAUCGACAAUCGAUGGCAACGAGGUCACGAUCCUCUCGGGCGCAACAGCGCGAAGAAACAAUCCAGCAAGAAGUUAAUCACAGGUCGCAGCUCGUACAGCACGAGCGUCAAGUGGAAAACUCUCAACCCAGAGUGGAACGAAGAGUUCAUUUUUGGGAUUCGAUUAACAGACCUCAUGAAAGUCACGUUAUGCCUCUCUAUGUGGGACAAGGAUUUCGGCAAGCGUAAUGAUUAUCUAGGAGGGCUUGUAUUAGGAUGCAAUAGUAAAGGAGCACGAUUGCGACAUUGGGUAGAUGUUAUCAAAUUUCCCGAUUAUCAGCAUCCUGCUUGGCACAAUUUAACGGAAGUUCUUAUGCCAAUAGAGUAAUAUUUUUCAAUGGCAUAAAUAUAUGAAAUAUGUAGAAAAGUCGGAAAUACUGAUCUCAAUGUUGACAUGUUAAAGAGGCAAUAUAAGGCUAAAGUUACAUCAAUAGAUAUUGCCUAAGGAACUAAUGUCUAUACUGCACAUUAUUACUCAUAUUAAAAUAUGAAAAUAAGUAUAAGAAGGAUAAUUAUAGUCAGUUUAAUUUGUUACUUUCACUUUUUUCUAAUUUCAAGCAUAAUAUUAAAUUAUUAUAUAUAUGUAAAUUAUUAUGUAUUUAUACAAAUAUGUAUAUAAUUUGUUUAACUUAUCAUAUUACAAAAAAUGUGAAAUAAUAGCAAAAUUCAUUUUUUAUAUUAAUUAUGUAUUAUGCAUAUAUUAAUUAUAUUAAUUAUGUAUUAGUCGCUUUCAGAAGAAUAUUCUUCUGCUUCUUGUAACCAUUUGAUAAAAGGUUGUACUGCGAUUUUUA